GAGGACCAGGCGCGGGAGCGGGAGCGGGCGACUGGCCGGGCCCUCCCGGUCUCGGCAGCCACUUCUAGCUCCCGGCCCAGCCGGGAGACGCAGGUGCCACGGAGAUGGGCAGCCGGGCGGGUGGCGCAGUGCAGGCAGCUGUAUCAAUCGCUUCCCCUCCAGGGACCCGCCGGUGCCUGGGGACCGCGGGCUGUGCAGCUGUGCCGGGCCUGCGGAGGCCGCCGCCCGGGAGCUGGGAGGCAGGGGGCGCGUGGUCAAGAGCCGCCCUCGACCUGGCCUGGUCGGUCCUGGCCCGGCGUAGGUGACGAUGGCGGGGACCGCGAGGCGCCGGACACCCGAGGCCACGAGCAGCGUCGCCCCUCGCUUUUUCGCGCCCCUCCAGCCCUGCAGUCCUUCCUCUAAGUCCGUCUGCCCCUCACCGAUUGAAAGUGGCCCCGAGAAUAUUGGAUGCCACACCUUUUGCAAUGUGACUUGGCAGCUCCUCCCAGAAUCUCAGCUGGAUUUUAACUCACCUUGGCCUAAAGAAAAUGACAGAAGUGAUAAAGUCCUCAGCCUGAGCCUUAAGAAACCUUAAACGCUUCCACAUUCUCUUUGGGAUCCCUGCUUCUGCCAUGAGAACAGGGCUGGGCUAGUUUGAUGGAAGAUGAGAAGCCACAUGGAAAAGAGCUGAAGUCUUCCCUGACCUGUGAAUAGCCAGCAGACCCCAAACAUGUAAGCCCAGCCAGGAGCAGCAUGGCCACCCACCUGACCUGCAGCCACCCAAAGAUGUAGAUGUGAGCGCACCUGGGACUAGAACUGUCCUGAUGACCUGUAGGCCCAUGAGUAAUAAUAGCUACUUAUUAUAUUAAGCUUCUGAAUUUUAGAGUGAUUUGUUAUACAGCAUUGUGACAAUAGAUAAUUGAUAACAACUAGUGAUUUUCCCGUUGAUAAUGCCUCCUUUUUUGGGGUCUCAGCCUCCAAAAGGCUUUCCUGACUACCUAGGCAAUCUGAAGCAGCUUCUCAGUCUCUAUCAUAACACUGGUGUAUUAUUAACACCAGUCUCCCAAAUUAUCUCUCUUUUUUUUUUUUUUUUUUUUUCAGAUAAGGUGUCCCUCUGUCACCUAGGCUGGAGUGCAGUGGUGCACACACACACGGCUCACUGCAGCCUUGCCCUCCCAGGCUCAGCCUCCUGAGUAACUGGGACUACAGGCAAGAGUGACGCCCAGGGAAACAUUCAAAAAAUGAAUUUUUUUUUUGUUUUUUAGAGAUGGGGUCUCACUACAUUGCCCAGGCUGGUCUUGAACUCCUGGCCUCAAGCAAUCCUCUCACCUGGGCCUCCCAAAGUGCUGGAAUUGCAGUUGUGAGCCACCACACCCAGCCUGCUUACUUUUGUUUGUUUGUCUGUUUGUUUGUUGUUUGUUUUUGAGACAGGGUCUCUGUUGCCCAGACUGGAGUGCAGUGGCACAAUCUCGGCUCACUGCAACCUCUGCUUCCCAGGCUCAAGUGAUUCUCCUGCCUUAGUCUCCUGAGUAGCUGGGAUUACAGGCAUGUGCCACUACCACCCGGCUAAUUUUUCUAUUUUUAGUAGAGACGGUUUCACCACGUUGGCCAGGCUGGUCUUGAACUCCUGACUUCAAAUGAUCCACUGCCUCGGUCCCCCAAAGUGCUGGGAUUACAGGCGUGAGCCACCACGCCCGGCCGCCCAGCCUAGUUCUUUAUUAUCUGUCUUCCAUGUUAGAAUGUCAACUGUGUAAAGGCAGAGACCUUGUCUGUUCUGCUCUCUGCUGUAUGCUCAGCACCCAGAACAGGCUGCACAGUCCAGUGUGGUAGCCAUGAGCUGUGUGUUCACUGAGCACUUGAAAUAUAGCUAGUCCAAGUUAAGAAGUGCUGACAAUGUAGAACACACACUGGAUUUCAAAGGCUUCCUACAAAAAAAGAAAAUAAAAUAUCUCGAUACUUUUUACACUGAUUAAAUGUUGAAAUGAUUUUUUUAUAUCAAGUUAAAUAGAAUAUGUUAUUAAAGUUAAUAUCACCUGUUUCUUUUUACCUUUAUUUAAUGUGGGUACUAGAAAAAAUUAAGUUACCUUUGUGGCUUGCCUUAUAUUUAUAUUGGCAGCACUGAUAUCAAAGCUCAGUAGCUGGGCGCAGUGGCUUAUGCCUGUAAUCCCAGCACUUUGGGAGUCCGAGGCAGGGUGGGUGGCUUGAGCCCAUGAGUUCAAGACCAGCCUGGGCAACAUGGUGAGACCCUGUCUCUACAAAAACUACAAAAAUUAGCCAGGUGUGUUGGCACAUGCCUGUAGUCUCAGCUACUCAGGAGGCUGAGGUGGGAAGGUCGCUUGAGCCUAGGAGAUUGAGGCUGCAAUGAGCCGUGAUUGUGCCACUGCAUUCUAGCCCAGGUGACAGAGCAAGCCCCUGUCUC
rnacentral:lncRNA from 10 species